AGAGUGGGGGCGCAGAUUGGAGAUGAGAGGAGAAGAGGGGAAUGUCACUAUUCACCCUCACCUUCUUUUGCUUGUAACUUGAGCUACGGACUUCCGAUUGACGAGCCGUUUGCGGCUAAGCGAAGCUCUUGACGAGCUCUUUCUUUCUAUCUAAAGAAAUCUGGUGAUCUCUAGUAGUGGGUAAUUGAUGAAUUUUAUCCUUAAUCACGUUGGAUAAGUGAUCCACCGGUUGAACCAGUGACCCGGUUAUAUGACCAGGUUGAUUAUCGGUUCGGUCUGACAACUAUACUAUUUACUAAGAUCGAGAUGUCAUUUUUUAAUCUUCAUGUUUAUCACCUUGAUUUGCAGUAGCGAAACCAUAACAGUGCGAGUCUAUGACAAAACUCAGUGGGAGGAGAAGGUGAAGGUUUAAGAAAAGUAAUGAGGACUUGCUUGCUCUACAUGCAUGCCAAAGUGCGAGUUUCUACAUUUGGCCAUGCAGUUUCUUGAAGCUGUCCACCAGACAAGUUUGAAGCAGCAUAACGGUGACCUUAAGGCUGGUGCAAAAGCAUCCUGUGCUGGAAGGCCAUGGAUUUGUGCAUGUCUCAUUUGUGGUUUCGCAGACCAGAGUGAAGCUUGUGCGUUUGAAUCAAAAUGGAAAGAUUUAUCAAGGAAAUCUCCUCGCAAAAGUCAAGGUGGCAGUAGCUCAAACAGAUUGAAGAUUCCUCGUGUAAUAACGAGUUCUUUACAAGCUCAACUAGAAGAAGAGAGAAAGGAGAAAGAAGAAAUGAAGAAAGAAUUGGAUGAGAUAGAGUAAAUUGAACUAUAUAAUGUUUUGUUGAAUAGUAUAUUGUCUAUUUAGUAUAAUGGCCAUCUAAUUAAAUGAUGCUUGAGAUUUUGAUACUUACCAUUAGAAAUUUGGAAUUACAUAGGUUAGUUUGAG